GGCAGAGGUUAGAAAGAAAUCUGGAAAAUUUAGAUUCAAGAAAGUGUGGAAUUUCUUUGGAACAAUCACACUCACACCAAAGAAAUUUCACACGUUUUCUCUAAUCCUAAGUCGUGAGAAAAUCUCCUCGAGUUUGGUUUGCAUUUGGUGGUCAGUCGCUCGAGAUUCAAACCCUAGAUUGGCGCUCACCGUUCUCCCAAGUGCAUGAUUUUUUUCGUCAUUCUCUUAAAGUCUUCUACAAAGGAUUAUUGCUACUCUUCAAAAUUCCUUAAGAGUUUGUUGCGCCAAGUACCCCUUCAUGGAGCUUCCUUUUUAUUUGUAAAAUAUGUAAAGGAGGUGGGUUUCUAGAUUA
rnacentral:misc_RNA from 1 species